UACGUAGGCAGCAAGCGUUGUUCGGAGUUACUGGGCGUAAAGAGUGCGUAGGUGGUGCCCUAAGUCUGUUGUGAAAUCUCCCGGCUUAACUGGGAGGGUGCGGUGGAAACUGGGGUGCUUGAGUGUGGGAGAGGUAAGCGGAAUUCCUGGUGUAGCGGUGAAAUGCGUAGAUAUCAGGAGGAACACCGGUGGUGUAGACGGCUUUCUGGACCAUUGUUGACGCUGAGACACGAAAGCGUGGGUAGCAAACAGG
rnacentral:rRNA from 1 species